UUUUUUUUGCUGCCCGUAAUCUCAACCCAAACCUCUUUUCUCCUCCACCACCGUCUUCCUCUCCCGCCGCCGCUUCUGCCAGAACUGCACCAAAUCCCAGAGGCGGCAUUCUUAGAAAAUAUGAAAGCUAAUCGAUGCAAAAAUAUUCACAAGGAGGGACAACAAGACAAAAAGAUUGUCGUCUUUCUUUAUUUGUGCAAUCCUGCCCUGCAACAAUUGUGUGAAUUGCCAGAAUAUUCGCUUUCUGCUACCCCUGGAUAUUCCCAUUUUGGGUUAGGAUAUCUUCACACAAGGAAGGAAUACAAAGUGGUGCAUUUUUUCUGUAGUGUUCCUUCAACGACUAAAAGGUGGUGUACGUUAUCUUGGCGACUUGAAGGUUUCACAUCUAAAAUGUGAGGUUCUUACCAUAAAUAAGGUCGGUGGUAUUUUUCUUUAAAUAGAUGGAAAGAAAUUGUCAUCCGAGAUCUGAAGGACAGAUAGUAAAUGAAUGCUUGUUUGUGAUGGAUUUGAAACGCAUGCUUUGCGUACCAGACGCUGGCCGCUUCCACAGGAGUUCAAUUCUAGACCUGUGGAUAAGAUAAGUUGCACUUGGGUAAAGGAGUAUAGCAUCCGUUACGUUUGAUCGACUUUGGGUUUAAGAAAAUUACGUAUGUCUUCAUGACAUGCAAUGAAGAAAUAAUAUUCCAACAUUUGGAUAAAGUGGUCUUCUAUGACCUAAAAAGAAAAUCAAUCAGACAAGUGGUGGAAGCACUUUCAGAUCGGUUCUAUCCUUAUGGAGUUUACUCGAAAAGCUUGUUUUCUUUAGGAACCAUAUAGGUCCUAUUGCCCGAGGAGAAAUACCAAGAUUUUACUUUUUUGUUGUGAAAUACUCUAUUAAUCUUAAUUUAUAGUAUGUUUCGAUUGAAGUUAGUUUGAAA